rnacentral:piRNA from 1 species
UGAGCUCUUCACCACCUCGUCUACAGC